AAGUCUUGCUCAUACCGCCCUGGAACUAUACACUGGUGAGCACAGUCGUGUGUGCUGCACAGCUUGGGUACCAGAGCAGAUGCUUCUGCACUGACUGUUCAUGUGGAAGACAGAAUAUGGCAGCUGACACAUUUGUGUCCUUUAUUUCGUGUGACUCAGGCACAAAGGGGUAUUCUCACCUAACUGAUCACAGGAUGACAGUAUGAAAAAGAGGAAAACCAGCUGGAUUAUACUGGCAAAUACCUCAGGAAGGCAGAGCUAAUUGCUCCAAUUAUUAUGGGAGAGCCAGGCAACUACAUAGCAUGCAAAAAAGGAAAACCCUGGAAGAGUUCAUUAAAGAUUAUGUAAACGAAGAGUGCAUAUCACUAGUAUAUCAUCUUGCAGAGUUCCGUAAGUAUGUGUGCAUCAUCAGACUUUGAAAUAGUACAAAUCUAUUCCUUCUGCUCGGUUGUGGAAAUACAUCUACAGAGGCUUUAUUGGAAUAUUCUGCAAUUUUCUGUCCAGGUUCAGUCAUUUAUACAGAGAGAGAGUUUCUUACUUGCAGGACUUCAUUUUACUACACUCAAAGGAUGAUGCUCAAAGGACCACUGGAAAUGUCAGAAAGUGAGCCUCUGAGCCAUGGCAGAACUGUGUAGAGAAGUUUUUGGUAUUCAGGACACGGACUGGAUGGGAAUUUUUUUUAAAAAAGUAAAAAACCAACUCUCUUGGAAGAUGUGGGUGGGGACCCAUUCUGUUUCUAUACAAAGUUUAUAAUCUUCUGAUUGAAAAUCCUAACAACGACGCCAAGCACAGAGGAUGACAAGCACUGUGAGUACUCAUUCAUUCCAAAAAAUACUGAAGGAGUGAAGCCAGGCCAUGCUUACAGAUAUGUUCGUCUUUCCUAAAAGAGUCUUUGUUCGAGAUGAAUCUCAAUAUCUGUGAUCCUAGAGGAAUGAUACUUUGCAUGUGUAUAGCAUCUUCAAAAUUAGAAGAUCCAAAAUUUCCUUAUAGUAAACUAUUUCCAUUAAAAUGCUAUUUAUAUAUCUCUCUUCUACUAGAAAUAAUGGCAGCUUGGGCUUACCUAGUAAAUUCACACUUUUGAAAUAUAUGAAAAUAAUUUUCCCCAUAUAUUUCUUAAUUUGAUAAAUAGUUGGUAGGUGGAAAUACCAUCUGGGAUCUAUUGACUGAGCAGUUUCAUAGGGCAGAUAGACCAAUCAUGAUCUACAACUGAAUCAAGUGUAUUAAUCAUGUGCUUUUAAU